rnacentral:rRNA from 1 species
UACGAAGGGGGCUAGCGUUGUUCGGAUUUACUGGGCGUAAAGCGCACGUAGGCGGAUCGAUCAGCCAGGGGUGAAAUCCCAGGGCUCAACCCUGGAACUGCCUUUGAUACUGUCGAUCUGGAGUAUGGAAGAGGUGAGUGGAAUUCCGAGUGUAGAGGUAAAAUUCGUAGAUAUUCGGAGGAACACCAGUGGCGAAGGCGGCUCACUGGUCCAUUACUGACGCUGAGGUGCGAAAGCUAGGGGAGCAAACGGG